rnacentral:piRNA from 2 species
UGCCAUUUGCAGAGAUCAUGGAUUUUUGGU